CGGACGGGUGCGUAACGCGUAUGCAACCUGCCUGACACAGGGGGAUAAUCCGAAGAAAUUUGGUCUAAUACCCCAUAAUACCGAUAUAGGCAUCUAUGUUGGUUGAAAGCUUUGGUGGUGUCAGAUGGGCAUGCGUUGUAUUAGCUAGUUGGUGAGGUAAUGGCUCACCAAGGCGACGAUACAUAGGGGGACUGAGAGGUUAACCCCCCACACUGGUACAGAGACACGGACCAGACUCCUACGGGAGGCAGCAUG
rnacentral:rRNA from 1 species